CAAGAUACAUCACGUGAUGUGAGAAAUUUUCACGACCUGGAUAUCAUCAUUUGUGGGGACAUCACUGCCUGGAGACUAAGAUUUCUAACCAGAAAUUUAGGGCAGUUCAAGAAGAGGCUCAGGAGACAUCCUAGCUUUGGCUGUUUCCCAAUAACAGAUGAAAAUGAUCAAGGACCAGGGAUCGCUGACACUGGAGGAUGUGGCCGUGGACUUCACGUGGGAGGAGUGGCAGCUCCUGGCCCCUGCUCAGAAGGACCUGUACCGGGACGUGAUGCUGGAGAACUAUAGCAACCUGCUGUCCGUUGGGUAUCAAGCCAGCAAGCCGGAUGCUCUCUCCAAAUUGGAACGAGGAGAACCGUGGCCAGUAGAAGAUGAAAUCCACAGUCGAAUCUGUCCAGAAAUGAGGAAAGAUGACUGUCUUCUGCAGGAGGACUUGCAAAAUCAAAGAUGUCCAAAAAGAAUGGAACAAUGUCACAAACAUAAUGCACUUGGAAACAUUGUUCAUCAGAGCAAAAGUAACUUUCCUUUAAGGCAAAAUCAUGAUAUGUUGGACUUUCGUGGGAAAACACUGAAAUCAAAUUUAAGUUUAGUCAACCAGAACAGAAGCUAUGGAGUAAAGAACCCUCUUGGAGAUGGGGAAUCCUUCCUCCAUGCAAAGCAUGAGCAAUUUCAUAGUGAAAUGAAAUUUACUGAAUGUGGAAGUUCUGUGAACACAAAUUCACAGUUCAUUAAGCAUCUAGGAACUCAGAAGAUAAAUAAAUCCCACUUAUGCACUGAAUGUGGGAAAGCUUUCAUCAAGAAGUCCCGCCUCAUCAAUCAUCAUAGAGUGCACACUGGAGAAAAACCUCAUGGAUGCAGUAUAUGUGGGAAAGCCUUCUCCAGAAAGUCCAGGCUCACUGAACACCAGAAAACCCAUAUAGGAGAGAAACGGUAUACAUGCACUGAAUGUGACAAAGCCUUUCCCAAGAAAUCACGGCUGCUUAUUCAUCAGAAAACUCAUACAGGAGAAAAACCCUACGUAUGCGAGGAAUGUGGAAAAGGCUUCAUCAAGAAGUCUCGGCUCAUUAAUCAUCAGAGAGUUCAUACAGGAGAGAAACCUCAUGGGUGCAGUCUAUGCGACAAAGCAUUCUCCAGGAAGUCCCGGCUCAUCGAACAUCAGAGAACUCAUACGGGAGAAAAACCAUAUGAAUGCACUGAAUGUGACAAAGCCUUCCGCUGGAAAUCACAGCUUAAUGCACACCAGAAAACUCAUACAGGAGAGAAAUCAUAUAUAUGCAGUGAUUGUGGAAAAGGCUUCAUUCAGAAGGGCAAUCUCAUUGUACAUCAGCGAACUCACACUGGAGAGAAACCCUAUGUGUGCAAUGAAUGUGGAAAAGGCUUCAUCCAGAAGGGCAAUCUCCUCAUACAUCAACGAACUCACACUGGAGAGAAACCCUAUGUAUGCACUGAAUGUGGGAAAGGCUUCAGCCAGAAAACAUGCCUCAUCUCACAUCAGAGAUUUCACACUGGAAAGACUCCCUUUGUAUGUACCGAAUGUGGAAAAUCAUGUUCACACAAGUCUGGCCUCAUUAACCAUCAGAGAAUUCACACAGGAGAGAAACCGUACACAUGCAAUGACUGUGGGAAAGCCUUCAGGGAUAAGUCAUGCCUCAAUAGACAUCGGAGAACUCAUACAGGAGAGAGACCCUAUGGAUGCACUGACUGUGGGAAAGCCUUCUCCCACUUGUCAUGUCUCGUGUACCACAAAGGGAUGCUGCAUGCAAGAGAGAAACGUGGAGAUUCGGUCAAGUUGGAAAAUCCUUUCUCAGAGAGUCCCAACUCAUCACGUUCGAGUGAUAUUGUACAGGGGAAAAACCCUAUUAAUGUGGUGAGCGUGAACACACCUUCUGUGGCAGCUCAGACUCCAUUCCACAGUGAUGGGUUCCUAGCAGAUAGGAAUGUAGUAGCCCUUGUGGGACAGCCAGGUGCCACAGGUGCAGUGUCAGCAGAUAAUAGCAUUUGCAUGGAAGAAAAACCUAAUGAAUGCAGUGAGUGUGGUAGUACCUUCAGUGAUCAAUUACAUCAUAUUUUACAUCACAGAAAACACACAGAAAUAAACUGUGAUACAGUGAAGGUGGAAAACCCUUUCAUGGCGUCUUUCCCAGUGAAAUCGUCCAUCUGGGUUCCCGAAUGUGCUGCCCAGGCCUGCCCUGAGAACCAGGUGCUGAACUCACCUUUCAGAGGUUGGCAUUCCAGGACCGUGUUGUGCCAGGAAUCCCUGACAUAUGAUGACAUGGCUAUGAAGUUCACGUGGGAGGAGUGGCAGCUCCUGGACCCCAAUCAGAAGGACCCGUACCCAGAUGUGAUGCUGGAGAACCAUAGCAACCUGGUGUCUUGUGGGAUGGGCUGGGUAAGGAGCACGGUUGGGAAGAGACUGACAACGUCCACCGUUUCCGCUCACUUUGCGAUCGCUGCAUCCCCUGUACUGUCAGUUUUCCAAACCUUGGUCUUCCCCAAACACUUCCAUCUGCCAGUUCCACGCCGAGCUCCGCAGACAGCAUUUGCCCCGCAGUACGGACACCAAAUCUCCUCUAAGAUGGCGGCGUCCACGGGGCUGAGGUACCAGGAAACAGAGUUUUCAGCCGUGGUCUCUCAGCGGCCGCCACGCCUUCUGUACGUCAGGUGCGCAAAGAUGGCGACCCCAGGGCGCCGAGUCUGUGGUGGCGGCGCGGACGUAUUACCUCAUAAGGAAAAGCCGGAAACCCCCAAUCCGUUCACCAUAGAAACGCGGAACCUAAGUUUUUGUUUUUCCAAAUGGAUCUAUAUCUCACGUGAAAAAAUUUAGAAGGUGGUAAAAUCAAGUGAAACCCUGUCAUUCAAGGAUGUGGCCGUGGACUUCACGUGGGAGGAGUGGCAGCUCCUGGCCCCUCCUCAGAAGGACCUGUACCGGGACGUGAUGCUGGAGAACUAUAGCAACCUGCUGUCCGUGGGGUAUCGGGUCAGCAAACCAGAUGCAAUGUCCAAGUUGGAACGAGGGGAAGAACCGUGGACAAUAGAAGAUGAAAUCCACAGUCAAACCUGUCCAGAAACUGGCAACGUUGGUAAUCAUCUUCAGGGUGACUGGGAAAAUCAAAGAAUGCUGAAAGGUAUAGAACAAUACCAGGAACAUAAUGCAUUUGGAAAUCCUGUUCCUCAAAGCAAAAGUCAUUUCUCUUUCAGGCAAAAUCAUGAUAUGUUUGAGUUCUAUAUAAAAACUUUGAAAUCACAUUUAAGUUUAGUCAGGCAGGGCCAAAGCUAUGAAAUUAAGAACUCUACUAAAUGUAAUGGAGAUGGGAAAUCAUUUCUGCAUGGUAAGCAUGAAGAAUUUCAUUCUCCAGUUCAAUGCCCUGUAAGUGCAAAAUCCAUCAGUAGUAAGUCCCAAGUCAUUAAGCACCAAGGAACUCACAACACAGAGAAAGCCCACAUAUGCAGUGAAUGUGGGAAAGCCUUUGUUAAGAAGUCUCAGCUCACUGACCAUCAGAGAGUUCAUACAGGAGAGAAACCUUAUGGAUGCAGUAUGUGUGCAAAAGUAUUCUCCCGAAAAUCCAGGCUCAAUGAACAUCAGAGAAUUCACAAGAGAGAGAAAUCCUUUAUAUGCGGUGAUUGUGGAAAAGUCUUCACCAUGAAAAGCCGUCUGAUCGAACACCAGCGAACUCACACUGGAGAGAAACCUUACAUAUGCAGUGACUGUGGAAAAGGCUUCCCAGGGAAGCGUAACCUCAUUGUACAUCAGCGAAAUCAUACUGGAGAGAAAUGCUACGUAUGUAAUGAAUGCGGAAAAGGCUUCACUGGGAAGAGCAUGCUUACUAUACACCAGCGAACUCAUACAGGAGAGAAACCCUACAUCUGCAGUGAAUGUGGGAAAGGCUUUACCACAAAGCACUAUGUCAUCAUACACCAACGAAACCAUACAGGAGAGAAACCCUACAUAUGCAAUGAAUGUGGGAAAGGUUUCACCAUGAAGAGUCGUCUGAUUGAACAUCAGCGAACUCAUACAGGAGAGAAGCCGUAUGUGUGCAAUGAAUGUGGAAAAGGCUUUCCCAGGAAGAAUAAUCUGAUUGUACAUCAGAGAAAUCAUACAGUAGAGAAAUCCUACGUAUGUGGUGAAUGUGGAAAAGGCUUCACUGUGAAGAGCAUGCUCAUCAUACAUCAACGAACUCACACUGGAGAGAAACCCUACAUCUGCAGUGAAUGUGGGAAAGGCUUCCCGUUGAAGAGUCGGCUUGUUGUGCAUCAGCGAACGCAUACGGGUGAGAAACCUUAUAGAUGCAGCGAAUGUGGGAAAGGCUUCAUCGUGAAUAGCGGACUGAUGUUACAUCAGCGAACUCACACUGGAGAGAAGCCUUAUAUAUGCAAUAAAUGUGGAAAAGGGUUUGCCUUUAAGAGCAAUCUUGUGGUACAUCAGCGAACUCAUACUGGAGAGAAACCCUUUACAUGCAGUGAGUGUGGAAAAGGCUUCACAAUGAAACGCUAUCUCAUCAUACACCAGCAAAUUCAUAUGGGAGAGAAGUCCUAUAUAUGCAGUGAAUGUGGAAAAGGUUUUGUCAUGGAAACAGAGCUCAUUUUACAUCAGCAAAUUCAUACUGGAGAGAAACCUUAUGCCUGCAAUGAAUGUGGCAGAGGCUUCACUAUGAAAAGCCGUCUAGUCGUUCAUCAGCGAACUCAUACAGGAGAGAAACCUUUUGUAUGCAGUGAAUGUGGAAAAACCUACAGGAAGAAAAUAUGCCUUGUCCAACAUCAGAGGGUUUCACACAGGAUAAACUACCUUUAUAUGUACUGACUAUGGAAAAUCCUAUUCAUAAUUGGUAUUGGUUUCAUUACCCACCAGAAAAUUUACACAGGAGACAAACUGUAUGUAUGCAAUUAAUGUGAGAAAGCCUUCAACACAAAUUCAGCACCCGUUGUACAUCAGAGAACUCAUAAAAGAGAGAGACUCUGUGGAUUCAGCAAUUGGGGGUAACCUUUCUCUCAUUUGUCAAGCCUUGUUAAUACACACGAGAAACGUAUAAGUCAAGGUAUUGAUAAAAGCAUUGAGAGGGCCAGGAAUGAUUCCGAUGUCUUCCUACAGCCGUUAUGGCCCCCGCCCGUCGGAAACGCCGAGGUGGGCGGGGCCAUGCUACGUCAUAGAGCGGAGCGCGCGGUCGGAAUUCGGAAAUCCGGCAGCGCUCCAAGGUCCUUGCCAGAUUGCCUGGUCCUAGCCGGUCUGCGUUCCUAG